GCGGGAGUAACUAUGACUCUCU
rnacentral:ncRNA from 3 species